rnacentral:rRNA from 1 species
GAUGAACGCUGGCGGCGUGCCUAAUACAUGCAAGUCGAGCGAACAGACGAGGAGUUUGCUCCUCUGACGUUAGCGGCGGACGGGUGAGUAACAUGUGGAUAACCUACCUAUAAGACUGGGAUAACUUCGGGAAACCGGAGAUAAUACCGGAUAAUAUAUUGAACCGCAUGGUUCAAUAGUGAAAGACGGUUUUGCUGUCACUUAUAGAUGGAUCCGCGCCGCAUUAGCUAGUUGGUAAGGUAACGGCUUACCAAGGCAACGAUGGGUAGCCGACCUGAGAGGGUGAACGGCCACACUGGGACUGAGACACGGUCCAGACUCCUACGGGAGGCAGCAGUAGGGAAUAUUCCGCAAUGGGCGAAAGCCUGACGGAGCAACGCCGCGUGAGUGAUGAAGGUUUUCGGAUCGUAAAACUCUGUUAUUAAGGAAGAACAAAUGUGUAAGUAACUAUGCACGUCUUGACGGUACCUAAUCAGAAAGCCACGGCUAACUACGUG